UCCACUAGUAUUAGUGCCACAAUUAACACCCGAAAGAUCUUUCAAAAUGGCCCUUAAUUUUUGUUUUCCGUCAUAAGCCACAUAGCCACUUUUCAUGUGCAUUUUGGACUUGAAUGUUCUUGGUUUUACACAUGCACCACCACUCACAUUUUCAAUUGAGUCCCUCAUGUUUUUAUUGCAUUUUUCUUACAUUCUUGGCUUGGUCCAAGCACUGAGGGAAGGUCUUGACACUGAUGAUUCAUGAUAACUUGAUGGAUCGCAUGGCCUUAGUGCCGGUGACGCAUCAUUCAAAUUUCUGCCCUAUCAACUUUGGAUGGUAGGAUAGAGGCCCGCCAUGGUGGUGACGGGUGACAGAGAAUUAGGGUUCAAUUCUGGAGAGGGAGCCUGAGAAACGACUACCACAUCCAAGGAAGGCAGCAGGUGUGUAAAUUACCCAAUCCUGACACGAAGUGGUAGUGACAAUAAAUAACAAUACCGGGCUCUUUGAGUCUGGUAAUUGGAAUUAGUACAAUAUAAAUCCCUUAACAAAGAUGCAUUGGGGGGCAAGUCUGGUGCCAGCAGCCACGAUAAUUCUAGCUCCAAUAACGUAUAUUUAAGUUGCUGCAGUUAAAAAGCUCAUAGUUGAGCCUUGGGGUGGGUCAAUCAGUCCGCCUAUGGUGUGCACCGGUUGUCUUGUCUCUCUUGCCAGUGAUGCGCUCCUGGCCUUAAUUGGCUAGGUCGUGCCUUCGGCGCUGUUCCUUUGAAGAAAUUAAAGUGCUCAAAGCGAGCCUAUACUCUGGAUACAUUAGCAUAGGAUAACAUCAUAGGAUUCCAAUCCUAUUAUGUUGGCCUUCGAGAUCGGAAUAAUGAUUAAUAAGGAUAGUCGCAGGCAUUCGUAUUUCAUACUCAGAGGUGAAAUUCUUAGAUUUAUAAAAGAUUAACAACUAUGAAAACAUUUUCCAAGGAUGUUUUCAUUAAUCAAGAAUGAAAGUUGGGGGCUCGAAGCUGAUCAGAUACCGUCCUGGUCUCAACCAUAAAUGAUACUGACCAAGGAUCGACGGAUGUUGCUUUAAGGACUCUGCUCGCACCUUAUGAGAAAUCAAAGUUUUUGGGUUCUAGGGGAAGUACGGUUGCAAGGUUCAAACUUAACAGAAUUGAUGGAAGGGCACCACCAGGAGUGCAGCCUGUGGCUUAAUUUGACUCAACAUGGGGAAACUUACCAGGUCCAGACAUAGUAAGGAUUAACAGACCGAGAGCUCUUUCUUGAUUCUAUGGGUGCUGGUGCAUGGCCAUUCUUAGUUGGUGGGGUGAUUUGUCUGGUUAAUUCCAUUAAUGAAUGAGACCUCAGCCUGCUAACUAGCUACACGGAGUUCCCACUUCGUGGCUAGCUUCUUAGAGGAACUAUGGCUACUUAGGCCACAAAAGUUUAAGGGAAUAACAGGUUUAUGAUGCCAUUAGAUGUUCUGGGCCACACGCUCGCUACAUUGAUGUAUUCAACGAGUCUAUAUCCUAGUAAGCACGAGUCAUCAGCUCACGUUGACUACGUCCCUGCCCUUUGUACACACCGCUCGUCACUUAUACUGAUUGAAUGGUCUGGUGAAGUGUUCGUAUUGUAGCGACGAGGGUGGUCCGCUGCCUGUGGCAUCUUGAGAAGUCCACUGAACCUUAUCAUUUAGAGGGAGGAGAAGUCGUAACAAGGUUUCUGUAGGUGAACCUAUGAAAG
rnacentral:rRNA from 1 species